CGCCACCUAAUCCAACGCUUUUGAUGAGAAUGUUUUCAAACUGAUACACUGUCAUGAAUUUAUGGUUGUCAUUUUAAAACAGAAAUAAUAACAUGAACUUUGUUUAUUGUAAACAAGAAGAAAGACAACUCAGAAGCAGUGAGCAUUAAGAAAAAACAUAAACAAAUGCUUACAGAAAGAAAAAAAAAGGUCAGGUUUCAUUUCAACUAAAUAUUUAGCUCUUGUUAAUUUUAAGUUCAAAAGCCCUAAUGUCCACAGCAAGAGCAAGCAAAAACACAAACACAUGGACACUGAAUAAUGCCUUGCUUAAAAACCACUUAAUAGAAAAAAAAAAAAAGAUGAAAUAAAAACAU